GAGCGCGUGUGAGCGCAGGGGCGCGCCUCGAGCCAGUACGCGCAGCCCCGGGAGAGGGGAGUGCGGCGGGCGGUUAGGCCGGCAGAGGGCGGGGAGGGCAGCCCGGACCUCCCACCAGCACAGCACCGUGCUCCGUUUGCUCACCCUGACCAUGGCACCCGCAUAAGCCGUCUGUGUGUUCCAGAGAGGCCAGCCCUGCAUGUGCUGUCCAUGAGCGUGCUUGGACCUAGGCAUAGCACCCAGCUGAGCGGGACAUUUACACGACUGCUGGGGUCGAGGGCAGAACAGGGGGAAACUGUGUUCUGGCGGAGGCACAGCACCCCCGGAGCACCCAGAGCCUGUGAGUAGAGCCAUAGGCUCUCUCCAGCCCACCCAUGAAGACUGAUUCUGCACUUGGCGCAGGAUAUGGGAGCGAGCGGAUGGGUGAAGCAGCGGAUGGGCUGUGACACUCCCUUGGCUGGUGUAUUGGCCCAACGCCACCUCCAGGAAGAACACCGGGAUGCCGCAGGCAAAGAAGAAGAUGAAGUAGGGGAUGAAGAAGGCUCCUGCAGAAGAGAGAGAGGCAGGGCUGAGCCACACCCGGGCUCUUCCUCAGCCUCCAUCCUUUCAGACCCUCCUCCCCCAACAAACCCGCCCUCCACCAUCCUGUUCUUAAUCUUCCUCCUGACACUUCCCAAGGGCCCAAUCGGCUUCCUCCUGCCUGCGUGCCGUCCUGAGUGUUAGGCAGGCACAGGUGGGAAUGUUCUGAUCUGAACCCUACACAGAAUGAGAAAGACCUUGGAAGGGAAAUUAGUGAAAACUUAGGUGGAAAUUCUAAUAUAUGCACUAUUUAUUUUCUUAGUGUGCUUUACAAAUCUAGUCAAUAGAUUAUUUUUGGAAUAAACACAUGGCUUCUGUAUAA